rnacentral:rRNA from 1 species
GAUGAACGCUGGCGGCGUGCCUAACACAUGCAAGUCGAGCGAUUCUCUUCGGAGAAGAGCGGCGGACGGGUGAGUAACGCGUGGGUAACCUGCCCUGUACACACGGAUAACAUACCGAAAGGUAUGCUAAUACGAGAUAAUAUACUUUUAUCGCAUGGUAGAAGUAUCAAAGCUCCGGCGGUACAGGAUGGACCCGCGUCUGAUUAGCUAGUUGGUAAGGUAACGGCUUACCGAGGCGACGAUCAGUAGCCGACCUGAGAGGGUGAUCGGCCACAUUGGAACUGAGACACGGUCCAAACUCCUACGGGAGGCAGCAGUGGGGAAUAUUGCACAAUGGGCGAAAGCCUGAUGCAGCAACGCCGCGUGAGCGAUGAAGGCCUUCGGGUCGUAAAGCUCUGUCCUCAAGGAAGAUAAUGACGGUACUUGAGGAGGAAGCCACGGCUAACUACGUGCCAGCAGCCGCAGUAA